rnacentral:rRNA from 1 species
AUUGAACGCUGGCGGCAUGCUUUACACAUGCAAGUCGAACGGUAACAGGCCGCAAGGUGCUGACGAGUGGCGAACGGGUGAGUAAUGCAUCGGAACGUGCCCAGUCGUGGGGGAUAACGCAGCGAAAGCUGUGCUAAUACCGCAUACGAUCUAUGGAUGAAAGCGGGGGACCGUAAGGCCUCGCGCGAUUGGAGCGGCCGAUGUCAGAUUAGGUAGUUGGUGGGGUAAAGGCCCACCAAGCCAACGAUCUGUAGCUGGUCUGAGAGGACGACCAGCCACACUGGGACUGAGACACGGCCCAGACUCCUACGGGAGGCAGCAGUGGGGAAUUUUGGACAAUGGGCGCAAGCCUGAUCCAGCAAUGCCGCGUGCAGGAAGAAGGCCUUCGGGUUGUAAACUGCUUUUGUACGGAACGAAACGGUCCGGGCUAAUACCCUGGGCUAAUGACGGUACCGUAAGAAUAAGCACCGGCUAACUACGUGCCAGCAGCCGCCGUAACAC